GCCUACGGGGGGCAGCAGUAGGGAAUUUUCGUCAAUGGGCGCAAGCCUGAACGAGCAAUGCCGCGUGAACGAGGAAGGUCUUCGGAUCGUAAAGUUCUGUUGAAGGGGAAAAAGAGCGGAGAGAGGAAAUGGUCUCCGAUUGAUAUUACCCUUCGAGGAAGUCACGGCUAACUACGUGCCAGCAGCCGCGGUAAUACGGAGGAUGCGAGCGUUAUCCGGAUUUAUUGGGUUUAAAGGGUGCGUAGGCUGAAUGUCAAGUCAGCGGUAAAAAUUCCGGGCUCAACCCGGUCG
rnacentral:rRNA from 1 species